GUUGACGGCCAUGCCUGAUCUCGUCUGAUCUAAGCAGGGUCGGGCCUGGUUAGUACUUGGAUGGGAGACCACCUAGGAAUACCAGGUGUUGUAGGCG
rnacentral:rRNA from 1 species